rnacentral:SRP_RNA from 1 species
GCCGGGCGCGGUGGCGCAUGCCUAUAGUCCCAGCUACUCGGAAGGCUGAGGUGGGAGGAUCGCUUGAGCCCAGGAGUUCUGAGCUGUAGUGCGCUAUGCCAAUUGGGUGUCCGCACUAAGUUCGGCAUCAAUAUGGUGACCUCCUGGGAGCGGGGGACCACCAGGUUGCCUAAGGAGGGGUGAACCAGCCCAGGUCAGAAACAGAGCAGCUCAAAACUCCCGUGCUGAUCAGUAGUGGGAUCGCACCUGUGAAUAGCCACUGUACUCCAGCCUGGGCAACAUAGCGAGACCCCCAUCUCU